CCAGUGAUAACAUCGUGGCGAGAGCCCCGGGUGUCCAAGGAGAAGGCGAAGAAGUCGAAGUCUUGGAGAGCUCGCUCGGCUGCCCUCAGACAAGAUCCCGCAUCGAAGUUCGAAGAUGAGAAUUUUCUGAUAUUAGAGUGUGUCGCGAAGUAACAACGAACUAUGCUCCAACUAUCCGAAGUAGAAAUUCCUAUUCUGAAACUAUUCAGGAUGUAAAAGGAAGCGUUCGUCUCGCCACGAUGGGGAUCGGACUCACCCGUCGGAAGGCAAGAUUGACCACCCUCCAGCGAUAAACUCACCCUCGUAACAACAUUUUCACUUCGGCCAUGCACCUCAAACCAAGGUCGGCCGACCCAAGAUACCAUCGCACGUUUGCAUAGAAUGGGCGUUUUUUCUUGGAGCUUUUUCAAGGAAUCGCGGAGGAAAGAGGGAAAAAGCGGGAGGGAUGCCGGAAUAUCCUGGAAAUAGGGGAAGCCUAGGACGCUCCUUGGACUCAGAGGGGAUGAAAAGGGGGGGAAUAAGGAGGUGUGGCUUAAUGUAAGAAAUCAAUGAUUCGCUACCCCUGUAAGAAGAAUACUGGCUUUCUAAUAACGGCAUCGCUCCUGGAAACGGGCGAGGGGCAGGGGGCAAAAAACCCCUUUCUCUCCCUUCCUUUUUUCCAUUUUUCGCCGGAGCGCCGUAAUGGGCUAAGAAGCCCCUCGCAUAAUUCAUAACUUAAAUUGCUAAAAUACCCCAUUAAUUUCUGCACUGAUUUCUAACGCGAACAUUAAGAAUACGCUCUACCUUGCAAUUUAUGGCUGGCGAGACUUAUAAAUUACGUUAGAAUGUUUCGCGAAAUUUAAUUAUGUUUGACGGCGUAUCAAUGCUCAGGAAUUCGACUGGGAUGGAGAUUUUGGAGAAAAAUCCCAAAUUUGGCGCGGGGAGGGCGGGACGGGGCGAAAUUUUCAUCAUGGAACACAUUUUCGGGCGCUGUAGUAAAAUGAGGCAUUAAAGUGAUGAAGGCAUUAAAACGAAUACUUAGUUUCGUCUUGAUUAAUUCAUGUUUUGCGGCGGAAAUCAAGGGAUGUCGCGAAAAGAAGAGCUUUGCUUGGGUUGUGCAUAGGUGAAUGAGUAAACAAACAAAUUCGAUUAAGACUGAAAUUUUCAAAACCGGAUUUACAUUAUUAACACUAUGUUUUGAUUGCAUUCCUGGACGAAAUGUAUGAGUGUGAGAGAGAGAGAUAGAGUGAAAGAGAAAUUCUAAAAAAAUCCCUAUAAUAUAGUCCGCGAUGGACAAAAAUAUAAGUCGUAAAACAAAUUACAAAAAAAAAACACAGCUGAUUAGUGAUUAAUAGUCAGAGUUUCUAAAAACCGGAAAAAUAAUUCCAAAAAAUUAAAAAAAAAAUUUAUGUAUUCCUUUUAUU